rnacentral:rRNA from 1 species
AGUGAACGCUGGCGGUAGGCCUAACACAUGCAAGUCGAACGGCAGCACAGUAAGAGCUUGCUCUUACGGGUGGCGAGUGGCGGACGGGUGAGGAAUACAUCGGAAUCUACUUUUUCGUGGGGGAUAACGUAGGGAAACUUACGCUAAUACCGCAUACGACCUACGGGUGAAAGCAAGGGAUCUUCGGACCUUGCGCGAUUGAAUGAGCCGAUGUCGGAUUAGCUAGUUGGCGGGGUAAAGGCCCACCAAGGCGACGACCCGUAGCUGGUCUGAGAGGAUGAUCAGCCACACUGGAACUGAGACACGGUCCAGACUCCUACGGGAGGCAGCAGUGGGGAAUAUUGGACAAUGGGCGCAAGCCUGAUCCAGCCAUACCGCGUGGGUGAAGAAGGCCUUCGGGUUGUAAAGCCCUUUUGUUGGGAAAGAAAAGCAGCAGGUUAAUACCCCGCUGUUCUGACGGUACCCAAAGAAUAAGCACCGGCUAACUUCGUG